rnacentral:sRNA from 1 species
AAUGAGUCAGGGGCUGUGGACAGUGACCUGAACCCCUUCCUUGCCCCUAGACAAGCCACAGCUGACCUGCUGAGCAGCCUGGAGGACCUGGAGCUCAGCAACCGACGUCUGGUUGGGGAGAAUGCCAAACUGCAGCGGAGCAUGGAGACAGCUGAGGAGGGGUCAGCACGCCUUGGGGAGGAGAUCUUGGCUCUGCGUAAGCAGCUUCACAGCACCCAGCAGGCCCUGCAGUUUGCCAAGGCCAUGGAUGAGGAGCUGGAGGACCUGAAGACUCUGGCCAGGAGCCUGGAGGAACAGAAUCGCAGCCUUCUGGCCCAAGCCCGGCAGGCGGUGGGUCUGGCCCAGGGGAAGGAAGGUGCCCUCUCUCUUCUUUGUUUCCUGGAGUCAGGGCGGCAGAGUGUGACUAUGGAGUAGGAAGGGGCAGAGGUCACCUGGCUUUCUCCCUCUCUCCAGGCCCUGCUCACCCUAGACUUUUUCAAGCUUACCUGCCAUCCUUCUCAUGACAAAGGAGACAGCAGGAGCCAUCAGGGCUUCCCAGACCCAUUCCCCCAGGCCCUGGUUGUGUUUUCAGGGGUGGGAGAAGGGCAACAUGGGGGCAAGGAGGCUAGAAAUGAAACCUUUGUCCUCUCUCUGGGGUUGGUCAGGAAAAGGAGCAGCA